UACGUAGGGGGCUAGCGUUGUCCGGAAUCAUUGGGCGUAAAGAGCGUGUAGGCGGCUUGGUAAGUCCGCUGUGAAAGUCCAGGGCUCAACCCUGGAAAGGCCAGUGGAAACUGUCAAGCUAGAGUCCGGAAGAGGCGAGUGGAAUUCCUGGUGUAGCGGUGAAAUGCGCAGAUAUCAGGAGGAACACCGAUGGCGAAGGCAGGUCUCUGGGCAUAACUGACGCUGAGGAGCGAA
rnacentral:rRNA from 1 species